rnacentral:rRNA from 1 species
GGGCAAUGGGCGGAAGCCUGACCCAGCAACGCCGCGUGGAGGAAGACGGCCUUCGGGUUGUAAACUCCUUUACGGGGGAAGAGGAAGGACGGUACCCCGAGAAUAAGUCACGGCUAACUACGUGCCAGCAGCCGCGGUAAUACGUAGGUGACAAGCGUUAUCCGGAAUUACUGGGCGUAAAGCGCACGCAGGCGGCGCAUUAAGUCUGGCGUGAAAUCUCCCGGCUUAACUGGGAGGGGUCGUUGGAAACUGAUGUGCUUGAGGCGGUGAGAGGGGUGUAGAAUUCCCGGUGUAGUGGUGGAAUGCGUAGAUAUCGGGAGGAAUACCAGUGGCGAAAGCGGCACCCUGGCACUAGCCUGACGCUCAUGUGCGAAGGCGUGGGGAGCGAACGGGAUUAGAUACCCCGGUAGUCCACGCGGUAAACGAUGAAUACUAGGUGUGGGUGGAGUGAAAUCCAUCUGUGCCGCAGCAAACGCGUUAAGUAUUCCGCCUGGGGAGUACGGCCGCAAGGCUA